rnacentral:rRNA from 1 species
CCUACGGGAGGCAGCAGUGAGGAAUAUUGGUCAAUGGUCGGGAGACUGAACCAGCCAAGCCGCGUGAGGGAGGAAGGUACAGAGUAUCGUAAACCUCUUUUGUCAGGGAACAAAGGCGGGGACGUGUCCCCGGAUGAGUGUACCUGAAGAAAAAGCAUCGGCUAACUCCGUGCCAGCAGCCGCGGUAAUACGGAGGAUGCGAGCGUUAUCCGGAUUUAUUGGGUUUAAAGGGGGGGCAGGGGGUCUGUUAAGUCAGCGUUCAAAGCCCGGGGCCAAACCCCGGCCCGCCGUUGAAACUGGCAGUCUCGAGUUGGAGAGAGGUAUGCGGAAUGCGUGGUGUAGCGGUGAAAUGCAGAGAUAUCGCGCAGAACUCCGAUUGCGAAGGCAGCAUGCUGGCUCCACACUGACGCUGAGGCACGAAAGCGUGGGUAUCGAACAGGAUUAGAUACCCGGGUAGUC